GGAUUAGAUACCCUGGUAGUCCACGCUGUAAACGAUGAAUACUAGGUGUGGGAGGACUGACCCCUUCCGUGCCGCAGUUAACACAAUAAGUAUUCCACCUGGGGAGUACGACCGCAAGGUUGAAACUCAAAGGAAUUGACGGGGGCCCGCACAAGCAGUGGAUUAUGUGGUUUAAUUCGACGCAACGCGAAGAACCUUACCAGGACUUGACAUCCAACUAACGAAGUAGAGAUACAUUAGGUGCCCUUCGGGGAAAGUUGAGACAGGUGGUGCAUGGUUGUCGUCAGCUCGUGCC
rnacentral:rRNA from 1 species